ACAAAAUGUACCAUGCACCUAAGCGUGCGACCCAGAAGAAGGGAGGACUUCGCCAUGAACAGGUUCCUCCUUAUCGCUGUGUAUGGAGCGAUUCUUGCUAUCGCUCUAACAUUUAAUUUUACUACGUGUGGAAACGGAAACAACAUGACAGUCAGGAACGAUUCUAUGGAUGAAAAUCCUACAAGCGAUUCAGACGAUGCAGCACGCCCCAUGAUUCGCCGCAGCCGCAGUCGAUCCAAGAGUACGUCGCCGGGGUAGAAAUGGCUUAAAUUUAUGGGGACCGUCCAAACUCGAAGACUAAAAGAAAAAUUUAAUCUUGGAAAUCCUUCUCUGCAGUAAUGCGUAGCUAUGACAAAAAAUAUUUCUUAGGCCCUAGCUAAGCUUAAAAAUAGGUUUGUUUUCAUUAUAUCAAACCAUUUUCUUUCACAGUAAUGUAUACCAUUCCUAGGUAAAUUUGGUUUAAAAACGUAAGCAAUAAACAAGAAAUGUAAUUCA